rnacentral:rRNA from 4 species
AAAUUGAAGAGUUUGAUCAUGGCUCAGAUUGAACGCUGGCGGCAGGCCUAACACAUGCAAGUCGAACGGUAACAGGAAGCAGCUUGCUGCUUCGCUGACGAGUGGCGGACGGGUGAGUAAUGUCUGGGAAACUGCCUGAUGGAGGGGGAUAACUACUGGAAACGGUGGCUAAUACCGCAUAACGUCGCAAGACCAAAGAGGGGGACCUUCGGGCCUCUUGCCAUCAGAUGUGCCCAGAUGGGAUUAGCUAGUUGGUGAGGUAACGGCUCACCAAGGCGACGAUCCCUAGCUGGUCUGAGAGGAUGACCAGCCACACUGGAACUGAGACACGGUCCAGACUCCUACGGGAGGCAGCAGUGGGGAAUAUUGCACAAUGGGCGCAAGCCUGAUGCAGCCAUGCCGCGUGUAUGAAGAAGGCCUUCGGGUUGUAAAGUACUUUCAGCGGGGAGGAAGGUGUUGUG